UAGGGAAUCUUCGGCAAUGGACGGAAGUCUGACCGAGCAACGCCGCGUGAGUGAAGAAGGUUUUCGGAUCGUAAAGCUCUGUUGUAAGAGAAGAACGAGUGUGAGAGUGGAAAGUUCACACUGUGACGGUAUCUUACCAGAAAGGGACGGCUAACUACGUGCCAGCAGCCGCGGUAAUACGUAGGUCCCGAGCGUUGUCCGGAUUUAUUGGGCGUAAAGCGAGCGCAGGCGGUUAGAUAAGUCUGAAGUUAAAGGCUGUGGCUUAACCAUAGUAGGCUUUGGAAACUGUUUAACUUGAGUGCAAGAGGGGAGAGUGGAAUUCCAUGUGUAGCGGUGAAAUGCGUAGAUAUAUGGAGGAACGCCGGUGGCGAAAGCGGCUCUCUGGCUUGUAACUGACGCUGAGGCUCGAAAGCGUGGGGAGCAAACAGGAUUAGAUACCCUGGUAGUCCACGCUGUAAACGAUGAGUGCUAGGUGUUAGACCCUUUCCGGGGUUUAGUGCCGUAGCUAACGCAUUAAGCACUCCGCCUGGGGAGUACGACCGCAAGGG
rnacentral:rRNA from 1 species